UGCAAGUCGAGCGCAGUCCUUCGGGACCGAGCGGCGGACGGGUUAGUAACGCGUGGGAACAUACCCCUUUCUACGGAAUAGCCUCGGGAAACUGAGAGUAAUACCGUAUAAGCCCUUCGGGGGAAAGAUUUAUCGGGAAGGGAUUGGCCCGCGUUAGAUUAGAUAGUUGGUGGGGUAAUGGCCUACCAAGUCUACGAUCUAUAGCUGGUUUUAGAGGAUGAUCAGCAACACUGGGACUGAGACACGGCCCAGACUCCUACGGGAGGCAGCAGUGGGGAAUCUUAGACAAUGGGCGCAAGCCUGAUCUAGCCAUGCCGCGUGUGUGAUGAAGGUCUUAGGAUCGUAAAGCACUUUCGCCAGGGAUGAUAAUGACAGUACCUGGUAAAGAAACCCCGGCUAACUCCGUGCCAGCAGCCGCGGUAAUACGGAGGGGGUUAGCGUUGUUCGGAAUUACUGGGCGUAAAGCGUACGUAGGCGGAUCAGAAAGUUAGGGGUGAAAUCCCGAGGCUCAACCUCGGAACUGCCUCUAAAACUCCUGGUCUUGAGUUCGAGAGAGGUGAGUGGAAUUCCAAGUGUAGAGGUGAAAUUCGUAGAUAUUUGGAGGAACACC
rnacentral:rRNA from 1 species